rnacentral:rRNA from 1 species
UAGCAUAUCAUAGCGGAGGAAAAGAACCCAACAGGGAUUGCCCCAGUAACGGCGAGUGAAGCGGCAACAGCUCAAAUUUGAAAUCUGGCCCCCCCGGGCCCGAGUUGUAAUUUGUAGAGGAUGCUUUUGGUGCGGCGCCGCCCGAGUUCCCUGGAACGGGACGCCAUAGAGGGUGAGAGCCCCGUCUGGCUGGACGCUAAGCCUCUGUAAAGCUCCUUCGACGAGUCGAGUAGUUUGGGAAUGCUGCUCAAAAUGGGAGGUAUAUGUCUUCUAAAGCUAAAUACCGGCCAGAGACCGAUAGCGCACAAGUAGAGUGAUCGAAAGAUGAAAAGCACUUUGAAAAGAGGGUUAAAUAGUACGUGAAAUUGUUGAAAGGGAAGCGCUCGUGACCAGACUUGGGCUUGACGGAUCAUCCGGCGUUCUCGCCGGUGCACUCUGCCUCGUCCAGGCCAGCAUCAGUUCGCCGCGGGGGAGAAAGGCUUCGGGAACGUGGCUCCUCCGGGAGUGUUAUAGCCCGUCGCGGAAUACCCUGGGGCGGACUGAGGUUCGCGCAUCUGCAAGGAUGCUGGCGUAAUGGUCAUCAGCGACCCGUCUUGAAACACGGACCAAGGAGUCGUCUUCGUAUGCGAGUGUUCGGGUGUCAAACCCCUACGCGUAAUGAAAGUGAACGCAGGUGAGAGCUUCGGCGCAUCAUCGACCGAUCCUGAUGUUCUCGGAUGGAUUUGAGUAAGAGCAUACGGGGCCGGACCCGAAAGAAGGUGAACUAUGCCUGUAUAGGGUGAAGCCAGAGGAAACUCUGGUGGAGGCUCGCAGCGGUUCUGACGUGCAAAUCGAUCGUCAUAAUAUGGG